rnacentral:rRNA from 1 species
CCUACGGGAGGCAGCAGUGAGGAAUAUUGGUCAAUGGGCGCGAGUCUGAACCAGCCAAGUAGCGUGAAGGAUGACUGCCCUGCGGGUUGUAAACUUCUUUUAUAAGGGAAUAAAGUGAGGCACGUGUGCCUUUUUGUAUGUACCGUACGAAUAAGCAUCGGCUAACUCCGUGCCAGCAGCCGCGGUAAUACGGGGGAUGCGAGCGUUAUCCGGAUUUAUUGGGUUUAAAGGGUGCGUAGGCUGUGAGGUAAGUCAGCGGUGAAAUGCCCCCGCUCAACGGGGUGAAGUGCCAUUGAGACUGCCUGGCUGGAAUGCGGAUGCCGUGGGAGGAAUGUGUGGUGUAGCGGUGAAAUGCAUAGAUAUCACACAGAACACCGAUUGCGAAGGCAUCUUACGAAGCCGCGAUUGACGCUGAUGCACGAAAGCGUGGGUAUCAAACAGGAUUAGAUACCCUAGUAGUC